rnacentral:rRNA from 1 species
AACGAACGCUGGCGGCAUGCCUAACACAUGCAAGUCGAACGAGAUCUUCGGGUCUAGUGGCGCACGGGUGCGUAACGCGUGGGAAUCUGCCCUUUGGUUCGGAAUAACAGUUGGAAACGACUGCUAAUACCGGAUGAUGACGAAAGUCAAAGAUUUAUCGCCAGAGGAUGAGCCCGCGUAGGAUUAGCUAGUUGGUGUGGUAAAGGCGCACCAAGGCGACGAUCCUUAGCUGGUCUGAGAGGAUGAUCAGCCACACUGGGACUGAGACACGGCCCAGACUCCUACGGGAGGCAGCAGGGGGGAAGAUUGGACAAUGGGCGAAAGCCUGAUCCAGCAAUGCCGCGUGAGUGAUGAAGGCCUUAGGGUUGUAAAGCUCUUUUACCCGGGAUGAUAAUGACAGUACCGGGAGAAUAAGCUCCGGCUAACUCCGUGCCAGCCGCCGUAAAAC